ensembl:lncRNA novel transcript, antisense to SLC14A1 and SLC14A2
UGAAGAAUGACCUUCAUAUAAUGGCCACACAGCCACUUGGGCCACCGGAGCUCACCGUGAGACACACUCACCAUCUCGUCUUCAUGUCUGGUGCUCCCUUUAGUUUUCUGGCAAGAAGCUAGGGAGAAGGUGACUUGAGCUCCUCGUGUGUUUUGAUCACUCAACAAAGAAGACAAAAGGGCGUUUCAUAACCUGACAGUGGGAGAGCACAUUAAAAAGGAGCUGAGCUGACCUUUGCACUGUCUAUGAAGAAUGAGUUUCCUAAACUCAUCAUAGCAACAAGAUAUAACGGGGGUUAUUAAGCCACUAAAACUUUUUCUGAAUUCAUAUGCACUUUUUCCCAAAUAGAAUGCUGACGACAAAUAAUUUUAUCAAUCAUUAAAGAAGAUCCCUUCAGAACCUCUCCAGGGAAAUACUUGUAGCUUAGUUCUGGUUAGCACGUAAUGCCACAAGAAUCUGGCAUCAUUUAGACCAGCCAUUUAUUCAGAUAUCAAGAGCAAGAGACUGUAACUGAUUCCCUGACCUCUGACUAAAAACAAAUAUAAAC